CUGCCACAAGCUCUGAUCUGACUCCAGAAUUCCCCGUCCAUCUCGAACAUUUUUGAAGAAAGAACGAUCAAAAUUGUUACCGCUCCCGUAGUCCAAAGCGAUACGUUUAUUUCCAUCGCCAUUUUUAGGGCAAAGCGAUUGGAGUGUAGGAAGGAACGAGGGAUCGAUGGUAGGAUCAGCACCCCCGGAGUUUGUGAAGUUGUAUAAUCUGUAGCUCACGAAUUGGCAAGCCACUGUUCCAAUAGUGUGUCCUCCUGCAACACAUUUUUGUACUAUAUGGUUUAGAAUGUUGCAUGCAUGCAGAUAGAAAAAUUUCGGAUGUCUGAUAAACGUAUGUAAUAUUGGCUUAUUGCUUACCAACAAGGGUAACAAGAUCUUGAGCGCUUAGACCAACAUCUGCAAAUUUUUUCUUCUGGACCGCGACUGAGUCUGUGAAACUCGGCAAAUUGGCGGUGUCGGACGCCAAUGACACUCGUCCGUCUCUCCGGCCAGUAGGCACGCGAUAAGUCAGUGCACCGACCUGCAUGUGAAAACAUAAGAACAAUGAGAUGCUGAUAUAACAAUGAUCCUACUUCGAAAUAGCAUAAAUUAUUUGAAUUUUUUGGUUAAAAUCAUAUAUAGCACAUUCGAAACAUUUAUCUUACUUCUACUGUGGCAUCACGAGCAGCAAGAGCAAGAAUAUCAGCACACGACACGACUCCGGGGCAUGCUGCCUCUAGCUGUGUUUUGGCAUCCUCAAUCACUUCAUAUCCUCUCAGCAGAAGAUUUGGCCUAGCGGUUUUCUCAGCAUUGCUGCCAUCGAUAAGAAUCGAAGCAUCGCAACCAUGAACGAAGCAAUCAUGGAAGACCAUUCUGAGCAGUCCGGGGGCAACAGUGGAAUCGGAGUUAACAUGUUUCUUAACGGUGGCUUGAACGAUGGAUUCCGCUCUGGGACAAGAGGUGGAAUAGAAGCCGACCCUAGUCUGAGCUAGAGCUAAGGGUGUGGCGACUAGAAGAACAAAUAGAAUAGAGAGUUUGCUAAGGAAAGAAUCCAUUUGAGUUUGUUAUGUGUUGUUAUAAAUUGAUUGUGUGUUUAGAGGAAACGAAGGUGGUGUAUUUAUAGGGACAUAAAAGUGCUAAAAUGGGCUAAACGUGUGGAGACCAGAGAGAACCAGGGUCAAUGAAAAAUACGUGGCAACGGAUUGGAAAAGUUGUCCACUGGUGAGUUGUAGUCCACUCUCGGGCUGCCCAAGUUGUUUGAUUCGUUGAUUGAUAGAAGAGUCAAAUGAAUGUUCAUACAUGCGGUUGCAUAGUUUAAGUUCAAUUUAUGUCAGAUUUUCUCAGACACGUACUCAGUGGAUUAAUAUUUUGGCAUUUACCUCAUAUAUACAUAAAAGUUUGCUCAGAAACUAAUUCCUUCUUGUAAAUUAUAGAGUAAUAAUUAUUGAUUAGAUAUUCAAAAUUCCAACAAUUAUGGACUUACUCGAAAUUCAUUUUACGGUCUUAAAUCAUCGUACAUGCAGUAUUCUAAAAAUCCCCGAUUUAACCGAUAAAUCCCCUGCAAGGUCGGCCACCGAUUCGAUUUUUUAAAUCCGAUUAAUCCUUAUAUAUAUUCCUUAAUCGAAGUAUAUAUGAUAAAUUAUUAAAAUUAAAAUACUAUAUUACUUUAAGUAUGGUUUAUUAUAGAGUUUAUGAAUAUGGUAAAGAUAUUAGUUACUAAAUAGCUAAUAUAAUAAUAACUAAAUAUUAAAUAAUAUUUUAAUAUAAAAACAAAACCGAUUUUCACUCCGAUUAAUCCUUGCGAUUAAUCUCCGAUUUCCGAUUAAUCCCUGAAUCGGUAGCUCAACCGAUUAAGUCCGAUUCUCGAUUUCUGUAACACUGCAUACAUGUAUAAAUAAUAUCUCUAUCAUUUUUUUUUUAAUUUAUACUCAUUUUAUUCUAUUACAUCCACUCCAACUAAACACAACAUAAUUGUGUGUUUGUGUGUAAGCCUAAUAUUACAACUCUUGAAACAUAAUUUGAAAUUAGUUUUACAAAACUAUAUUUGAAAUGUUGUAAAUCAUUGUGCUUGCGGAAAAUGGUGAAGUGGGAACCGGAAAAGAAGCUUAAAUAAGUGUGAAACGCAUACGCAGGCGAAUACCUUGAUGUUACGUUCUAUCAAGGAAACUAAAGUAAUGGCGAAGCUGUUGCAAACUUAAUUUUGUGUGGAGUAUUAGUACUCCAAAUGGAUAGCGUAAACAUGUUUUCUAUUACAAAGUUGUUAGGGUGUCAAAUACUCCGCUAACACUGACAUGCAUGCAUUCCAUGAUUAAAAAACUAAAAAUUACUAAAAGAGAAGGUGGAAACUAUUGACUCGGGGUUCAGCAAAAGUUUUCAAAAGAGUCAAAGCAAUGCGUGUGGGGUCGCGAAUAACUUACUCUGCAUUAUCAUGAAACUUCCUGCACUAGUAUUUAACUAUUCUUUGUCAAGCCUUCUACUUUACUCCCUCAAUUUGUUUUAUUUAACAUUUUAAUUUUUCACACGUAUUUUCUGGUGAAGUGAUCUGAUAAUAUAAUUAUUUUUAUUAUAUUUUUGCCAAUUAUGAUAUUGAUUAUAUAUUUUUAUUCUGAAAAUUAAAAUUUUGAAUUAUUUUUAGUUAUCUAGUCAGAAUAUUUAAAAAUAUGUAUUAGAAACCAAACGUCGAAUAAAAUAAUAAGAUCGAGCUAUAUGUCUAUCAGGGAGGCAAAAACCGCAUGCUGUAUAUGACUGUUCUCAAAAUCUACGUGCCGUGAUAAUCAAAUAGCGGUUUCGUAAAAGAGUGUGAGAAUAAAUUAAAGAGUUUAAGAAGUAAUUAUUCCAGUUAGUUUUCGAUACCUCUUGUGCAAAAAUACAAAUUUUUGCAUAAAACACAGAACUCCUCAUAUUUAAUUUAGAUGGAAUUAAAACACAAAAUAUAUUGUCUUUAAAUGAUUCUACUGAAUAUAUUUUUAAUCAUCGACAGAUUUUGGGAGGACAAAUUUCAAUCUGAACCCUGCAUCAUUCUUUUGAUCACAAAAGAUAUUAAUCAAAAACUUGUCUUCGUCUUCUCUGUUCAUAAGUCAGCUUUUACGCAACAGCUAUUUCAUUAAAGUUUUCUAAAGAUUAUUCAUGUUCGAUAGAAAAUUAUUGUCAGACAUUUUAAUUCACAAAUUAUAUUUCAAAAAUAUUACUAUUUCAUUUGAAAAUUUUAAAAUGUUAUAUAUAUAUUUCACCUUAAAUAUUUUAUUUGCUGAGUUUUGCAGGACAUCUUAUUCACGAUUACAUAUUUUUCUACUCCAUCACAUGGUUUUUUUGCUUACUUUUUAGUUAAACCAGUCAUUGUGUCCGACAGCAAAACCAACACGGACUAUAGGUAUCGAGGACGAUUUCUCUCUGAUGCUAUAGGUAUAUUAUUUGUGUGUAUGGUAGAAUGUAUAUCUAUUAUUUUUUUUUGUCACUUUAUAUGGCAAUUUUUCUUAGCUGUGAUAAUAGAUGAAAACAUGAGCUGAGUUGCUUUUGAGUUUUGACAUAUAAUGUUCAUGGAGAGUUUCAUGUUAAAUGCCUAAAAAAUGUUUACGGAGUAAGGCUGACAGACUAUAUGCACGUAGUAUGAAAAAGUAAGGGGCGACGGGCGUCAUCAGCUCACCUUCACUACAAUAAAAUCGGGUACUUACGACAGAAAUUCGUAUCUAAAAAACAGCGCCGUCCUUGGAUCCGGCACUUCUCCCUUAUUUUUCAUUUGAAAAAAUAUUUAUAAAAAACUUAUGACAUCGUACUCUAGUAUUAUAAUUAUUUGAUUUUUUCAAUUGAAAAAAUAUUAAAAUAUAUAAAAAGCUUACAACGGAUUCGUUUUUCGUCGUAACAAUUUAAGACGGAACUCUACUAAUCCAUAGUAACUUUAUACGCGUGGUCCCUCAUAAGUUAUCUGUUACUAUAACUUAUAAAUGACUUUAUUUGUUGUAGCGCUUGUCGUAUACCCCGGCCUGGUAUAAUUGGCCCCAUCUCCUUCAUUCUAUGCACCACCGUAUAUUUGACUGAACAGACACAUUGCAUCACCAGAUGCCCCACCAUUCAUGAAAUCCCAGUUUUAGUAGAAUAGCACUCAAAUAAGUGAAUAACUCCACUCAAUCUUGUCAUAGCCUUAGCCAUGUCCAACUUAAACGCCAUAAACCCCUCCUUUCCUGUUCUCUUUAGUUUGUGAUAGUGCAUGACUUCAUAACUUAUAAUUAGAAUAUCUAUCUAGGGUUAAAUUUGUAGUGAUAAAUUAAAAUUAAUUUUUUAAUUAAACCGAUCGAUCACAAAAUUAUAAUGUCUUUUCAUUAUAUUUUAUUUUAUAUCAAUUUUUCAGUAUUUGAAUAUCAAAUUCUUAAAAUCAAAAUUAUUUUAAUUUGUAUAUAUCGAUAUAUACAGAAAUCAAUGAUUACUGGGUUAGUCAUUGAUAUUAUAAGAUUAAAAAAAAAUAUCGUAUACUAUUGGGUUUAUUUCCAUCGCCAUUUUUAGGGCAAAGCGAUUGGAGUGUAGGAAGGAACGAGGGAUCGAUGGUAGGAUCAGCACCCCCGGAGUUUGUGAAGUUGUAUAAUCUGUAGCUCACGAAUUGGCAAGCCACUGUUCCAAUAGUGUGUCCUCCUGCAACACAUUUUUGUACUAUAUGGUUUAGAAUGUUGCAUGCAUGCAGAUAGAAAAAUUUCGGAUGUCUAUAAACGUAUGUAAUAUUGGCUUAUUGCUUACCAACAAGAGUUACAAGAUCUUGAGCGCUAAGACCAACAUCUGCAAAUUUUUUCUUCUGGACCGCGACUGAGUCUGUGAAACUCGGCAAAUUGGCGGUGUCGGACGCCAAUGACACUCGUCCAUCUCUCCGGCCAGUAGGCACGCGAUAAGUCAGUGCACCGACCUGCAUGUGAAACAUGGGAACAAUGAGAACUGAUAUAACAAUGAUCCUAUUAUGCUGCAGAAAUAUUUGAAUUAUUUUCUUAAAACCGCGAAUAUAGCACAUUCGAAACAUUUAUCGUACUUCGACUGUGGCAUCACGAGCAGCCAGAGCAAGAAUAUCAGCACAAGACACGACUCCGGGGCAUGCUGCCUCUAGCUGUGUUUUGGCAUCCUGAAUGACUUCAUAUCCUCUUAACAAAAGAUUUGGCCUAGCUGUUUUCUCAGCAUUGCUGCCAUCGAUAAGAAUCGAUGCAUCGCAGCCAUGAACGAAGCAAUCGUGGAAGACCAUUCUGAGCAAUCCUGGGGCAACAGUGGAAUCGGAGUUAACAUGUUUUUUAACGGUGGCUUGAACGAUGGAUUCCGCUCUGGGACAAGAGGUGGAAUAGAAGCCGACCCUAGUCUGAGCUAGAGCUAAGGGUGUGGCGAGUAGAAGAACAAAUAGAAUAGAGAGUUUGCUAAGGAAAGAAUCCAUUUGAGUUUGUAAUGUGUUGUUGUUAUAUAUAAGUUGAUUGUGAGUUUAAAGGAAACGAAGGUAAAAUAAUAGUACUUUUGAUGAUGUGGCAUGACAUGGACCGGCACUCUCGUUAGCACCCCCAUUGGAGAUGUUGGAGUGCUAUUGGGGUGCCAAGUGAGUUGGCUUUGGGGUGCCAAAAGUUAGCAACCCAUAAAGUAGGGUGCCAACUUCUUUUGUAGUCCCAAUAAUACAUAAAAUAUAGAUUUGUGGUCCCCAAUAAUACAUAGAAUAUUAUCUCUAUUAAUAAAGUUGGCAUUUUGGAGUGCCAACCAUUGUAGUGUAUUUUGAAAUAAGGGUGCUAGAAAUGAUUUGGAAGAAUGAGAAUAUAAAAAAUAAUAUUUUGAGUUAUGUGUCAAAAUUGACACCCAUCGAAGGGUGCCAACCAUCGGAGAUGCUCUAAUUAAGACACCAUAUGGUUGGGCUUUUAACACACUUGUCCGGCUUGCUGCCUUCACCCAACAAACUGACCUAUUUAUCACGCAUCACAAUUCGAAUGCAAUCUAGACAUCAUAUUUUUCUUAUUUGCUUCCUGCCAAUCCAUAAUCUGUUUAGAGCUCAUCUCGAACAUGUACUCGAGUCAGUUUCAUUCUCUUGCAAGACUUUCCAGUUCCUUGCAAACCAAACUCCUGCUAAAACCUUAUCAAUGCCGAUCAAAUUAUUCGUUGACUCUGAUAUGCUGCGCCUGCACAUUCUACCUCCCGCAUAUCUAACUCAAUUUUCUGAAAUGUUUCAGAUUGCGCGAGUUAGUAGUACAUGACAAACGUACAGCAUUCGGUUUAAUCGUUUCUUUUCUGUGGGCUCCUUGUGUUUGUAAAAUGACAGCUUAUUUAAAAGCUAAAUAAAUUUCUCCAGAAAGUUCUAUUCAAACUCGCAAACCGCAGAGACAGCUAAUUAAAUCAUAACUAAAUGAUAACACUACAAGAAAACAGUCAAUAGACAUCGGUUUUUGAUGUGGCAUAUAAUAGUACUUUUGAUGAUGUGGCAUGACAUGGACCGGCACUCUCGUUAGCACCCCCAUUGGAGAUGUUGGAGUGCUAUUGGGGUGCCAAGUGAGUUGGCUUUGGGGUGCCAAAAGUUGGCAACCCAUAAAGUAGGGUGCCAACUUCUUUUGUAGUCCCAAUAAUACAUAAAAUAUAGAUUUGUGGUCCCAAUAAUACAUAGAAUAUUAUCUCUAUUAAUAAAGUUGGCAUUUUGGAGUGCCAACCAUUGUAGUGUAUUUUGAAAUAAGGGUGCUAGAAAUGAUUUGGAAGAAUGAGAAUAUAAAAAAUAAUAUUUUGAGUUAUGUGUCAAAAUUGACACCCAUCGAAGGGUGCCAACCAUCGGAGAUGCUCUAAUUAAGACACCAUAUGGUUGGGCUUUUAACACACUUGUCCGGCUUGCUGCCUUCACCCAACAAACUGACCUAUUUAUCACGCAUCACAAUUCGAAUGCAAUCUAGACAUCAUAUUUUUCUUAUUUGCUUCCUGCCAAUCCAUAAUCUGUUUAGAGCUCAUCUCGAACAUGUACUCGAGUCAGUUUCAUUCUCUUGCAAGACUUUCCAGUUCCUUGCAAACCAAACUCCUGCUAAAACCUUAUCAAUGCCGAUCAAAUUAUCCGUUGACUCUGAUAUGCUGCGCCUGCACAUUCUACCUCCCGCAUAUCUAACUCAAUUUUCUGAAAUGUUUCAGAUUGCGCGAGUUAGUAGUACAUGACAAACGUACAGCAUUCGGUUUAAUCGUUUCUUUUCUGUGGGCUCCUUGUGUUUGUAAAAUGACAGCUUAUUUAAAAGCUAAAUAAAUUUCUCCAGAAAGUUCUAUUCAAACUCGCAAACCGCAGAGACAGCUAAUUAAAUCAUAACUAAAUGAUAACACUACAAGAAAACAGUCAAUAGACAUCGGUUUUUAACCGAUGUCUAUGUUCUUUCCGGACCGAUGUCUUUGUCGGUGAUGUCUAUAUAUAGACAUCGGUCAAAAACCGAUGUCUGAAAUAAGAUAUGUGUGAGAGAAGACGUACCCACUUCGAUUCAAACUUACCAAGCUGAGUAGAGAGUAGAGAACACCGGAGAUAGGUGAUGAGUGGUGGUGAGCGGAGCGGCAGUGAUGAGUGAGCAGUAGUGUUGAGCGGAGCGGUGGUGAGCGGUGGUGAGCGGGCUGAGUGGGUGGUGAGCGGUGGUGAGUGGGUGGGCUGAGUGAGAGAGAUGGUCGAGAGAUCAGAGAGAUAGUCGAGAGAGAGAGGUCGAGUGAGAGAGAGAGUCGAGUGAGAGAGUUUGUAAGAAAUGUUGUAGUUAUUUUAGUUAUUAGUUUAGAUUUUUGAUUUUAAUUUUAUGUUAAAUAUGUCUGAAGAGAAGGAGAGAAGCCUAAAAUGUUCUAAGGCGGAGGAAUAUUUGGUUCUAACGCGGGGUUUUUUUGACUAAGGAGGGGAGAGAGGGAUGGCCGUGUGUUUUGAAUUUUUUUAAUGAUAUUUUAGACAUCGGUUUAAAUUUAAUUGAUGUCUUAAAAUGCUAAAGACAUCGCCUCUAGAAUGGGUGAUGUUAAAAACAUUUUUAACAUCGGCGGCAAAUCUGACCGAUGUCUGACCUAUGAUGUCUAUUAACAAGUUUCUUGUAGUGUAAAAACACAUAUUUCGCGCCAUUUUAUUAUUCCUUCCAAUUAUUUCACAUAAUUUAUGAUGUUUAAAUAUCUAAUUUUAAUUGUUAUGUCAAAAAAAAAUCUCAACAAAAAUAUAAACUAUACACUUUUGUUGAUUUACGAAAUGGAAAAUUUAAAUAUAUUUAAAUAUUUUAAAUUACAUGGAAAAAUUCGAAUAAGAUGUAAAGGGAGGGGAGCACUAUUUUGCGACUGAUAGAUGGAAUUGCAUGCUUAUAUUACAUAACCUUCCCUACUCAAGUUUCAAAUUGUUAUUGUUUAAAAAAAAGUAGGGUUUUGGAAACCCCCCCAAAUUCUACAUCCUUUUUAAUUAAUUGCUGAACAAAUUUUGCGAAUUUCACCGGCACUCCCCGUCUUCACUCCAACAUUCAUCAUUUUGAUCAUGGCCUUUCCAAACUCAACAUUCAGAGUCAGUCCAGCCAAUCCUCUAAUACCCAUAAAUCUCUGUGCAUCUCGUACAUUUUUGAAGAACGAACGAUCAAAAUUGUCGCCACUUCCAUAAUCUAACGGGAUUCGUUUGUUUCCAUCACCAUUUUGCGGGCAAAGAGAUUGGAGUGUAGGAAGGAAUUUGGAAUUGAUUGUUGGAUCCGCACCGCUAGUAUUUUUGAAGUUGUAUAGUCUGUAACUUACGAAUUGGCAUGCAACGGUUCCAAUAGUGUGUCCUCC
rnacentral:lncRNA from 1 species